AGCUAAAAGAAGAAUUAGAAGAAAGCUGCAUGAAUAAAGAUGGGAUCCUUCAUGAUACAGAAAAGACCUCAGCAGAGCAGUACGAAAGAGAAGCAGCUAAGAGGGAAAAGGAUUCUCUUGAGCAAAAGAUUAAAGAGCUGCUACAAAUGUUAGAGAACCAAGAAAGAGCCUUCAAGAUAUUUAGAGUCAAAAUCACCAGCAAGAUGAGAGAAAGAGACAAGCUUCUGAGAAGGAUGAACAAGAGGAUUGAGAGGCUGGAGAUCUUAAGAAAGAUAAGGGAAGAACAAGAGGAAUACUACAUGAAGAAAGAAGAGUGGGCCAGAGGAGAGGCAACUGAGAGGGAAAAGGAACCUCUUGAACAAAAGGCUAAAGAAUUACAGUCAAAGAUGGAGGGCGACAGAAGUGCCAUCUUGAAGGAAGUUAGACUCAAAACGACAAAGAUGAGAGAAAGAGAAAACCUUCUAAGAAGGAUGAACGAGAGGUUUGAGAUGUUGGAGAUCUUGGGGAUGAUAAAGGACGAGCUAGGGGAAUGCUGCAAGAAGACAGAUGAGCUUUGUAAUGCAGCCAAGACCUUGGCAGAAUGCACUAAAGGAGAGCCAUCUGAGAGGGAAAAGGAGCUUCUUGAGCAAAUGGUUAAAGAAUUGCAGCAAAAGUUGGAGGACCGAGAAAAACCUUCGAGAGAUUUAGAGACAAACUCACAAAGGAAAUGA
rnacentral:lncRNA from 1 species